GCAGUAGCCGCGGUAAUACGUAGGGUGCAAGCGUUAAUCGGGAUUACUGGGCGUAAAGCGUGCGCAGGCGGUUUGUUAAGACAGAUGUGAAAUCCCCGGGCUUAACCUGGGAACUGCAUUUGUGACUGGCAAGCUAGAGUAUGGCAGAGGGGGGUGGAAUUCCGCGUGUGGCAGUGAAAUGCGUAGAUAUGCGGAGGAACACCGAUGGCGAAGGCAGCCCCCUGGGCCAAUACUGACGCUCAUGCACGAAAGCGUGGGGAGCAAACAGGAUUAGAUACCCGCGUAGUCCCUGUCUCUUAUAC
rnacentral:rRNA from 1 species